AAAAAUAAUCCACCCAAUUAUCAGUACCAGAACCCUGCAGAUUUCAUUGAAAUACAUCAACCAGCUAGAUUGAACAAGAGUUCACUGUAGCAACUUAUUUGAAGAUAAACCAUCAUAUCAAUCAGACUGUCGUAGGGGACACAAAAAUUUG